CUAUAUUAGAGUUCGGUUUGUUGGAGAAUACACGUGCAAGGAGUUUACAGGAUGGAUAGAAUCUGCUUUGCAAUCAGCUGUUAGGAACCUUAUUAAUCUUUGGCCUAAGGUUUACGAGACAACAUUUAAAGAAGCUGAGGAUCGUUACUUCCAGGAUGGAAAAUAUAGUUGUAGAUGAUGAUGGUUAUAUUUAUCAUGAUGAUAAUGAUGAAAUAAAUACUUCAAAUCGAA